UUGAACGCUGGCGGCAGGCCUAACACAUGCAAGUCGAGCGGCAGCGCGGGGCAACCUGGCGGCGAGCGGCGAACGGGUGAGUAACGCGUAGGAAUCUACCCAGUAGCGGGGGAUAGCCCGGGGAAACUCGGAUUAAUACCGCAUACGCCCUAAGGGGGAAAGCAGGGGAUCGAAAGACCUUGCACUAUUGGAAGAGCCUGCGUUGGAUUAGCUAGUUGGUAGGGUAAAGGCCUACCAAGGCGACGAUCCAUAACUGGUCUGAGAGGAUGAUCAGUCACACCGGAACUGAGACACGGUCCGGACUCCUACGGGAGGCAGCAGUGGGGAAUAUUGGACAAUGGGGGCAACCCUGAUCCAGCCAUGCCGCGUGUGUGAAGAAGGCCUUCGGGUUGUAAAGCACUUUAAGUGGGGAGAAAGGCUCCAAAGUUAAUACCUUUGGGGAUUGAUGCUACCCACAGAAUAAGCACCGGCUAACUCUGUGCCAGCAGCCGCGGUAA
rnacentral:rRNA from 1 species